GCUGUUAGGUGGAAAGAAGAGGGCGCUUACAGGACGGCGGCCAGGACGGAGUCCAGCUUGGCCUUGGUGAUCUCCAGCUUCUUGGCGGCGGAGGCCUGGUCCUUCUCGCGCAGGGCGAAGUCCAGGUCCUCAACGGCCUGGAUGAACUCCUUGCGCAGGCCCAGGGCGGCCUUCUUGGCCUCCUUCUCCUUGGUCGAGGCCAGGGUGUUCAGGUCGAAGCGCAGGGUGCCGACCUGGCGGCGCAGCUGCUCGCGAGCCUCAGUCCUGUUGCGAGGGAAGGGGCAGGGUGGUGGGGAGGGAAGGUCAGCAUCCCGUGUGUCGGAAUUCGUUUUGAUCCGUAUUAUGGUUGCUCCUGUAGCAUUUGAACUUUCUUGCGGAUGCCCGUACCCAAGCCGUAUUAGGUCGCGCUGGAAACCCUGAGCAAGCAUAUUGGCCCCGUCUCGACGACAUCGCGCUCACCAGUAGGACUUCUGGAUGAACACGUCCAGGUCAGCGUCGAUGCGGGCCUCAGACUCCUUCACGCGCUUCUUGGUCUCGUCCAGGGAAGCGCGAGCCUGGGUGAAGCCCUCGCGGACGUUCUGGGGCAGGUCCAGGUCGCUGCACGCAUACAGCAUAGAUCGCACUUAUUAUUGAAGCGCUAUCCCAAACGAUAUCGACAGCUGAUUGAGAUCAGCUGGAAACAUGCCGCACCUUUUGCGGGUGCAACAUGCCAACGCAAGUCCCGACUUACCGGGCCUCGUAGAUCAG
rnacentral:lncRNA from 1 species